GACGAACGCUGGCGGCGUGCUUAACACAUGCAAGUCGAACGGAAAGGCCCUGCUUUUGUGGGGUGCUCGAGUGGCGAACGGGUGAGUAACACGUGAGUAACCUGCCCUUGACUUUGGGAUAACUUCAGGAAACUGGGGCUAAUACCGGAUAGGAGCUCCUGCUGCAUGGUGGGGGUUGGAAAGUUUCGGCGGUUGGGGAUGGACUCGCGGCUUAUCAGCUUGUUGGUGGGGUAGUGGCUUACCAAGGCUUUGACGGGUAGCCGGCCUGAGAGGGUGACCGGCACCAUGGGGACGGGGAUCCGGCCCGAAUGCCUCCGGGGGGCAGCGGGGGGGAAAUUGGCACAUGGGGGGGAGCCUGAUGCAGCAACGCCGCGUGCGGGAUGACGGCCUUCGGGUUGUAAACCGCUUUCGCCUGUGACGAAGCGUGAGUGACGGUAAUGGGUAAAGAAGCACCGGCUAACUACGUG
rnacentral:rRNA from 1 species